AUCAAGGGACCUAAUGUUAACAUCAAAGGUCCAGAACUUGACAUCGAAGGCCCUGAUGGGAAAAUCAAGGGUCCAAAAUUCAAGAUGCCAUCAAUGUCAGGCCCAAACAUCUCAAUGCCUGAUAUGGACAUCAAUCUGAAAGGCCCAAAGGUGAAGGGAGAUUUGGGUAUGUCAGGAGACCUCAAAGCACCCAAAGUAGACAUUGAAGGUCCGGAUGUUGACAUGGAAGGUUCAGGAGGAUUUAAGAUGCCAAAGAUGAAGAUGCCCUCAUUUGGAAUCAAAGGAUCUAAAUUGGAGAGUCCAGAUAUUGAUGUCAACCUACCAAAAGCUGACAUUGACAUCAAGGCUCCCAACGUUGACAUUAAAGGUCCAUCAAUAUCAGGACCAAAGAUCUCAAUGCCCGAUGUGGACUUCAAUCUGAAAGGCCCAAAGGUGAAGGGAGAUUUGGGUAUGUCAGGAGACCUCAAAGCACCCAAAGUAGACAUUGAAGGUCCGGAUGUUGACAUGGAAGGUUCAGGAGGAUUUAAGAUGCCAAAGAUGAAGAUGCCCUCAUUUGGAAUCAAAGGAUCUAAAUUGGAGGGUCCAGAUAUUGAUGUCAACCUACCAAAAGCUGACAUUGACAUCAAGGCUCCCAACGUUGACAUUAAAGGUCCAUCAAUAUCAGGACCAAAGAUCUCAAUG
rnacentral:lncRNA from 8 species